AAUAGAUACCCGGGUAGUCCACGCCGUAAACGAUGAGUGCUAAGUGUUAGGGGGUUUCCACCCCUUAGUGCUGCAGCUAACGCAUUAAGCACUCCGCCUGGGGAGUACGGUCGCAAGACUGAAACUCAAAGGAAUUGACGGGGGCCCGCACAAGCGGUGGAGCAUGUGGUUUAAUUCGAAGCAACGCGAAGAACCUUACCAGGUCUUGACAUCCCGCUGACCGCUAUGGAGACAUAGCCUUCCCUUCGGGGACAGCGGUGACAGGUGGUGCAUGGUUGUCGUCAGCUCGUGUCGUGAGAUGUUGGGUUAAGUCCCGCAACGAGCGCAACCCUUGUCCUUAGUUGCCAUCAUUCAGUUGGGCACUCUAAGGAGACUGCCGUACAAAUACGGAGGAAGGUGGGGAUGACGUCAAAUCAUCAUGCCCCUUAUGACCUGGGCUACACACGUGCUACAAUGGACGGUACAAACGGUCGCGAAGUCGCGAGACGGAGCCAAUCCGAAAAAACCGUUCUCAGUUCGGAUUGCAGG
rnacentral:rRNA from 1 species